GAGUUUUCGCUUAGUCUAAAACAAGGUGCAUAAUAUAUGAACAAGGAUUUCAAUAAAGAUUUGAGUUUUCACUUAUUUCAUAACAAUGUACAUAUGUAAAUAGAGAUUUAAGUAAGUCUUGGAGUUUUAACUUAUGUUAUAACUAUGGAAAAGCGUCAAUAGAGAGCUCAGUUAACAUAUGAGUUUUCAUUAUUGUUUUUAAUAAUGUACAUACUGUGAGUUAAGA
rnacentral:lncRNA from 1 species